rnacentral:lncRNA from 1 species
CCGCAAUUCGCAAAACAGAGCCCCCCAUCAUCGCCUCUCUGCUUCAAAAAAACAACCCAUGAAGCUCAUCUUCUUGGAUGAAACCAGCCUCACCAGCUCCUCCACUCACCUCCCAGCUCGACGGACUCUGGCAACAACCAGUAGUUGACUUUCGCACGACCCUUCGCCGGAAAACAAGUCGCACAGCAACAAACACACACACACGACCCCUCGCCAGAAAUCUAGUCGCACAGCAGCAAACACACACCCAUGACGAGCUCUCACCUCUCUUAUAAACUAAAACGAAAACAAAAAUAGUGGGGGAAGGGAAUUGAAAUCGAAAUAGAAAGGGGGGAAAGGAACGGGAAAACAGGGGAGUUGAAAACAGUGAGAAUAGAAGGAUUGAACGGACUUGUUUCAUUCUUAUUUCGAAUUCGAAUAUCUUCGAUUUUAAUGUCGAAUUCUGGCUUUCUUCUGAUUUUCAAUUUGGGUUCCUAUCUGAGGUGAGCGUGGAGUUCGUUGACAGUCUCGCUGAGGCUUCCGUUCGAGAUUUCGUGGCGGAUUGGCCUUUGCUCCAGUUUUUCUUUUCGAUUUUUAGUUGUGUAUCAGGUAUGAAUCUCGAUUCAAAAUGCUGAAAUUGUUGAUCUGUUUGCCAUUAUUUUCUUACGCUCCGAUUUUUCCUUUGGAUUGUUGAAACAUAUGUUCUUUGUGCUGAUUGUUUACUGCCUCUAUUUGUUGAAGUAAGCUGAUUCACAUUCAGCC